rnacentral:rRNA from 1 species
AGUGAACGCUGGCGGUAGGCCUAACACAUGCAAGUCGAACGGCAGCACAGUAAGAGCUUGCUCUUACGGGUGGCGAGUGGCGGACGGGUGAGGAAUACAUCGGAAUCUACUUUUUCGUGGGGGAUAACGUAGGGAAACUUACGCUAAUACCGCAUACGACCUACGGGUGAAAGCAGUGGAUCUUCGGACCUUGCGCGAUUGAUUGAGCCGAUGUCGGAUUAGCUAGUUGGCGGGGUAAAGGCCCACCAAGGCGACGAUCCGUAGCUGGUCUGAGAGGAUGAUCAGCCACACUGGAACUGAGACACGGUCCAGACUCCUACGGGAGGCAGCAGUGGGGAAUAUUGGACAAUGGGCGCAAGCCUGAUCCAGCCAUACCGCGUGGGUGAAGAAGGCCUUCGGGUUGUAAAGCCCUUUUGUUGGGAAAGAAAAGCAGCAGGUUAAUACCCCGCUGUUCUGACGGUACCCAAAGAAUAAGCACCGGCUAACUUCGUG